GGAGACUCUAAGACUUCUGAAGAGUUUCUUGCUUCUUUCCUGUGGGGCAGUGACUCCACUUCCCAGCAGUAAUGGAAUAUCCUGAAUUAGCUACAUUAAUGUUAGAACCAUUUGGACCUCACCCAGGACUUCAACUACAUUAUGAACCCAAAUUUGGCAACUGUCUGCAUCUGAACAACAGAAGUUUCAACAUUCUGCCAACAGAGUAACUCCUGGACGAUUGGCACAGAAGAAGGCACAAGGCAAAUACCCAUCUCUGUACACCCUGUGCUACUGUGUCAUGUGCUGCUCCAGGCAACUCCAAUGGAUUGGCCACCCUGGCCAAUGUGCCCUCCAAACACCAGCACUGAGUAGAAAGAGGCUCUGAUUCAUGAAAUGUGAAUUUAUGACAGUUGCCACUCUUAAAAAAAAAAACAAACAGACAGAACUUGAGCAAUACAUGACUGAUGCAUUCUCAGCCUGCUUCCUGUGUUCCAUCUGUCUUUCUGCCAGUGCAUUCACCCUCCAGUGAAACUUUCUACAUUCCACAUUUUCUAUCAAGAAAAGAAAGAGGUUGUAUUGUGAGGUUCUAGUAUGUUACGUUUAUGUUCCCCUGCUUUCUACAAUCCUGUUCAAAGAGUUGCUGACUUAACCACAGAGAGGAUUCCAGAACCUGAGACACAGAAUAAACUUGAGCAAUCAUAGUCCAUCCACUUCAUUGUCUCAUCAAAAACCAAAGGUCCAGUGAAGCUCUGGAACUCAACGCUGUAAAGGAGCGAAGGAGCUUCUAUACAGAGCCUGGAUGCCUGUCUCCUUAUCCUACUUCAGUGGACUUGACUGCAAUCCGGAUUAUGCUGUUUUCUAAGCAUUUAAAAUAAAA
rnacentral:lncRNA from 1 species